rnacentral:rRNA from 1 species
UGGGGAAUAUUGGACAAUGGGCGGAAGCCUGAUCCAGCCAUGCCGCGUGUGUGAAGAAGGCCUUAUGGUUGUAAAGCACUUUAAGCGAGGAGGAGGGUACUGGUAUUAAUACUACCAGCUACUGGACGUUACUCGCAGAAUAAGCACCGGCUAACUCUGUGCCAGCAGCCGCGGUAAUACAGAGGGUGCGAGCGUUAAUCGGAUUUACUGGGCGUAAAGCGUGCGUAGGCGGCUAAUUGAGUCGGAUGUGAAAUCCCCGAGCUUAACUUGGGAAUUGCAUUCGAUACUGGUUAGCUAGAGUGUGGGAGAGGAUGGUAGAAUUCCAGGUGUAGCGGUGAGAUGCGUAGAGAUCUGGAGGAAUACCGAUGGCGAAGGCAGCCAUCUGGCCUAACACUGACGCUGAGGUACGAAAGCAUGGGGAGCAAACAGG